rnacentral:piRNA from 1 species
GUGAGCCUCAGAAUCCAGAAACUGAA